AUGCAGCAAAUUACAGUCCAUAGUGCACAUGAAUCCGAACUUCUUUCUUGCUGUCCUGAGUGUAAAUCUAAUCUGUUAAAAGUCCAGUGGUUGAGAGCUAAAGAGAAACAGAGAGUGGAGACAAAACACUUUUUCUACCGAUUUCUUCAUCUAAUAACAAAGUGUUACAAGAUGGAUCCUUGUUCAAGUUAG